rnacentral:misc_RNA from 1 species
GAUGAAGAACGCAGUGAAAUGCGAUAAGUAAUGUGAAUUGCAGAAUUCAGUGAAUCAUCGAAUCUUUGAACGCACAUUGCGCCCCCUGGUAUUCCGGGGGGCAUGCCUGUCCGAGCGUCAUUACAACCCUCAAGCUCAGCUUGGUAUUGGGCCCCGCCGACCCGGCGGGCCCUAAAGUCAGUGGCGGUGCCGUCCGGCUCCGAGCGUAGUAAUUCUUCUCGCUCUGGAGGUCCGGUCGUGUGCUCGCCAGCAACCCCCAAUUUUUUUCAGGAUGACCUCGGAUCAGGUAGGGAUACCCGCUGAACUUAAGCAUAUCAAUAAGCGGAGGA